rnacentral:rRNA from 1 species
AUACGUAGGGAGCGAGCGUUGUCCGGAAUUACUGGGCGUAAAGGGCGCGUAGGCGGCCUGACAAGUUGUAUGUGAAAGACCAGGGCUUAACCCUGGGGUUGCAUACAAAACUGUCUGGCUUGAGUGUGGUAGAGGAUAGCGGAAUUCCUAGUGUAGCGGUGAAAUGCGUAGAUAUUAGGAGGAACACCAGUGGCGAAGGCGGCUAUCUGGGCCACAACUGACGCUGAGGCGCGAAAGCGUGGGGAGCAAACAGGAUUAGAUACCCUGGUAGUCCACGCUGUAAACGAUGAAUGCUAGGUGUAGGGGGUAUCGACCCCUUCUGUGCCGCAGUUAACACAAUAAGCACUCCGCCUGGGGAGUACGGCCGCAAGGCUGAAACUCAAAGGAAUUGACGGGG